rnacentral:lncRNA from 1 species
GAGAAGAGAUAACAUGGGAAUAUGAGAGGUGAUAUAUAUUUUUUUGGAUUUUCUCAAGAUAUUACAAUGUAGAGAAUGUACGCAAAUAGAUACAUGACAUAUUGAUAAGGUUUGCUUGAUCCUUAUCUUAUUCACGCACUUAAUAUUAUCUAAUUGUAGCUAUUCUUAUCACUUAAUAUAUGACAUUUUAGGUGAUUUUAUUUGUCCCAAAUUAUUUGACAUUUUAGAAAAUCUAGGAGAAUUAAUUACAAUCUUUUCAAAAUUAUCCCUCAUGGAAAAAUGUUAUAGAUGAGAGAAAAAGUAUGAAAUAAGUAUGAUAAUAAAUGAGAUUUUAAGGGUAUUAUAGAUAAUUGAUACUAUAUUUAAUACUUUUUGAUCAUUUCCUUAAAACAUCAUAUAUUAUCAAAAACACAUGUGAAAUAAUAAAACGGGAGAGUAAAUAAAAUUUAAUAUUGCGAAUCAAUCUCAUGCAUUAAUUCUCAUACCAUUUCUCUCUCUCUCUCUUUCUCAACUAUAGAUCUAUAUAUAUAAGAAACACAAAGACUCAUACAUCUAAGUAAAUAAUAAUUUUUUUUGUGUGUAAGACUGUGCAGAUGGAAGUUGCAGUGAAGUUUGCAGUAGUGAAGUUGGUGAUGAUGAUACUAAUGGCUUUUAUGAUUUCCAUGGGAGUUGCUACGCCUCCGUGCUGUCCUCGUAUUCCAGACUGUUGCCUUGCUGUCGAAGGUGUGCCACAAGGUCAAAAUCCCUUGGUCGUACUAAUCAAUAGUUUUAAUGGCUAAUUAGUUGCAGUAAUCUUUAUACUGGUUAAAUAAGAGAAGUGACUAUUCUCAUCAAUUAUUUUGCAUUACGCUAAUAUUAUGUCAUAUCUAAGUUCUAUGAAUUUUUUUUUUUUUUGGUUCUCUCGGUAUGUUGUGAGCUAGAUUAAAUUACUACUAUAAAUUGAAGAUUCUGAGACAAGAUAAAUCCAUAACAAAUGAAAUUGUUUAAUUGAUCGCAAAUUUUGAUAUCUAAAUUAAAUCGACUUUGAAUUUAAAAUAUUUAAAAUUGACUUUCUUAAUCAAAAAUAAUGUUAUAUUUUGGAAGAGAGAGAUUACAUGUGUAUAUAGGAGGAAUUAAUUAUUCUUUCUCUGCCAUUCUUCUGGCCAGAUCUGGAUUGUAAAAGUGUUUAUUGAAAAAAAAUAUUAAAAAGUGAAGAGAGAAGGACCGGGAUGGGGGGAGGCGAACGGAUUCUGUGCGUGGUCGGAGGCCAACAGAUGGGGGACCAGGACCGAGAGACUGAGGGACGAGAUAGGGAAUAGUGGGAGGAGGAAGAUCAACGAUGAAGGGGAAUUUUACUAAUUUCAAGGAGUAUAAAAGCAAUACUCAUCAACAUAAGUGUAGAAUUAGGAAUAUAAAACGAAAUAAUAUUACUUACAUACUACAGAGUAUGGAAGAAAAUAUUAUUUCUUACGAAUACUAAACAAAAUAAUAUCCCUUACCUUAAAAGGAGAGUAUUUCUGACUGGUAUGGCGGGGAUAUUCUUGAAGAAAGCUUAUACUGUUUUCUACACUCAAAGCUUCCUUAAACUCAAAAGAAAUACGCUCAAUAUUAUAGCAGAAGAAUUCUUCGAUUCUGGUGUGAUUUUCAAUUCUAAACUAAGCAUCCUAUUUAUAGAAGAAUGAUAGGAUACUAUUUAAGAAAAAAAAUCACGGAUGUACUGGAAAAAUAUCACGGUUUGCAAUUCAUCAGCAUGUUAUUAGCAACAAACAAUUAGGGAGUGCCCUCCCAUGAAGGUAACUAGACUUUGGGAGAUUUAAACCAAUGAGGGAGCACCCUCAUUCAUAAGUUAGUGAAUAGGAAUUUCAUAUUUGAACAUUUUGGCCAAUAAGAUCCGAUCUUUGGAAUUAAUUUCAUAAUUUUCCAAAUAGAUAACCUUAUUUGAAGGUAAUCAAUUCGUAUCCUCCAAAAUUAAAUAGAACAAAUACUAAUUUAACAAGAUUAUUGAACAAACAUCUUCCAUUUAUCAAUUAUUAUUCUUAUCUUUAAUCAACACAAUCUUUCAAUAAUUAUUCAUUAUUCAUAUUAUAACUCACAAUAUUAACAACCAGAUCAUUCCCAGGAAAGUUAGGGCUUUUCGAUAAGGACUUUUCCUUAUUGGCGCGUAAUUAGGUGACCAAACCCCUUUUCUUGACAAAACUUUCUAGACAUUAUCAAUAAUGAAAAUAAUAAAAUGAAUAACUUAGUCAUCUCAAUUAUUGAUUUAAUAAUAUAAAAUAUUAUGCAGAUGAUACUAUGAAAAUAAUUGAAUCAAUAAUGUGAGAUAUUAUGCAGUAACUACUGUUUCAAUAAUUGAGUAUAACAAAGUCACUUCUCACGUAACCAUAAAUAAUCAAAGAUAUUGUACAAUACCAUAUGCUACUAUACAACCACGCGUAUUACUGUACUUUUAUCACCUGGUAUUUCAACAGUUAACGAUAAAAGUUUUGCCGUUAUUUUUAUAAAAAGUUAUUUCUGUCAUUUUCUAACUCCGACAAUAAUUCUGUUGUGAGGUCCACCAAUGAUUGUGUCGUCGUACGAAUAUUCCCUAAUAAAAUGAAUAUUUCCCGACCAAAAGAAUAUUUUAUACACCUUAUUAUUCAAAAUAAUAUUUAGAGAAAUUAAAUCUUUAUUUAUAAAAAGUUGGGGUUUUACAACCUCCUCUCCUUAUGAAAUUUCGUCCUCGAUAUUGGGGUACGUACUAGGUAUGCCGAAGAAGUAAGAAUACCUUAUUUUCAUUUUAGAUUUUAACUCUUGAGGUAUAACCUUUGAGCGUAGAAUAUAUUUCUUCUUAUCUAAGAUUUUAACAGGUACCUCUUCAUAUGUUAAAUCUUCCGCUAUCUCGUUUAGUUCUAAUUCAAUAAUGUGGUUCGGGUCUUCCACAUAUUUACUUAAUAUAGAUAUAUGAAAAAUAUUAUGAACAUGAGACAUACUUAGCGAUAAGGCGAGUCUAUAGGCCACAUUUCCUACUCGAUCGAGAAUUUCAAAUAGACCAAUAAAUCGAAGGUUUCAUCUUUCCUCACUUCGUCGAUUCUCGUUUUUGGAAUAACAACUUCUUGCACCUUUUUCUUCAUAUUCAUCAGCUAUAGGUCUGUUGCUUGAGUAGCUUUAAAUUUAUCGAUUAAAGUCAAUUCUAAUUGUAUAUUUGACAUCAUCAUGUGGGUCCCUAGAGUCUUUAACUCUAUCUUCAUCAUUUGUAAGUCAUACGAAAUAGGUCUUUGUGUUAACGACGCCGCACUCAUAACCGCAUAAGAUCUUCAACUUAACGUGUCAGCUACCACAUUCACUUUUCUAGGAUGAUAUUGAAUGGUAUGAUCGUAAUCUUUCAAUAGCUCAAGUCAACAUCUUUGGCGCAUUAUACGUUCGUUUUGGUUGAAGAAAUUUUUUAGGGUUUUGUAUCGGGUUCAAGGUCAAUACAAAAUUCAAUUUCACGCUCUGGGGUAGGCCAGGAAGUCUUUAGAGAAUACGUCAGAAAAUUUCUUAACGAUAGAAAUAUCAUUCAAAUCUAACGUAUUUUUCUUUAAAUCUGUGACAUGGGCUAUGAAAGCUUGACAUCUAUUUUUUUAAUAAACCAAUGGCUUGAUAUGACAGUUACUGAUUUUAGUGGUUUGGUUGCUUAAAUUCGCAUAACAGGCUGGCUAGGAAUAUGAAAGCUAACAACCUUACGAAAAUAAUCAAUUUUAGCAUGAUGAGUAGUUAACCAGUCGAUUCCUAAAAUCACAUCAAAUGCAUGUAUUUCCAAAGAGAUGAGAUCACAUAGGUAAUGUGAAAGUGUCGAUUUAAAUCAAACAAGAUUUAUAAACAGUGGAUGUAAUGAAGGUUUCUCCCAACGAAGUUUCAACAGAUAAGUCAAAGUCUAAUUUCUCUAGAGUCAAAUAUAAAGGUUGAGCGCAAGUAUGUGAAAUAAAAGAAUGGGUAGAACCGAUAUUAAAUAAGGUAUAAACUUUGAAAGAGUUUAUGAUUAGCUUACCUAUGAUAACUUCGUUCGGGUUCCUCACUUUUUGGGAAGUCACAAAAAAUGCUCUCCCUUAAACUACCAACUUUGACUUGUUUGGGACAGUCUUUGGUGUCCCCAUCCCAGCUGAACUUGACUUCGCUGUAUGACAAAAUCAAGCUAAAUGACCUUUCUUUCCAAAAUUGAAACACACUUUGGGUUGCUGCGUACAGUUUGGACGGAUGUUCCCCUCUUUUUCGUAUUUGUAGUAUACGACCGGUGGUCAUUCUCAUUCUUUAGAAACGGGUGUUGGUGCUGCUAUCGAUGUCUUUCCAUCAUUGUUGAAUCUUCUUUUCUUAAAGUUGUUCCCACUUGGUUCACCUUUCCUAUUAUCUUGGCUGUGAUUACCACCGAAGUGGUUACCAUUUCUGGCAUGAUAAUUUCCUCCACGAUGAUUAUCAUUGUCCCGAUGGUCGUUGCCACCAGUACGAUUAUUAUCGUGUUGUUGGUCGUUGUCUUUUGGUUAGGCUGACUCAUUAUCGCGCUCCAAUAACUGAGCCCUAUUCACAACAUCUAAAUAUAAACAAAGUUUAUGAGAAAUGAGGUAUUGACAAAUUUCGGGCUUCAAACCUUGCAGAAACAUUCGCGUCAUACGCUUCUCAUUAUCAACCAAAUGGGAUGCAAACCGGGAUAACUCCGCAAACUUUUCCUUUUAUUGUGAUACGGCCAUGUUGUUCUAUUCUAGCUUAAUGAAUUCCACCUUCUUCAUGUAACGAAUACUUUCAAGAAAGUACUUGUCGUUGAACAAUUCCUGGAACUUCUCCCAAGACAUCUUCAGUGCGGAAAGAUGAGUAUGUUUUACAAAUUCCCACCAGUAAUCUGUCUUUCCUCGCAACAUGAAGGUGGAAAAGGGAACCUUUUGCUCCUCUGAGCAUCCCAAGACAUCAAAUAUCUUGAUGAUCUGCUUAAUCCACGCCUCUGCCUUAAGUGGCUCUGGCUUUCUAAAAAACUCUGGUGGUCCCAACUCCUUGAAUUGCUUAGCAGUGACCAACCGUGAGUUACCAAUGUUUCCACCUGCAUUUUGAACAGGAGUCUCUCUCGUUUGGUUUUACAUGAAUUCUAGAAAGUUCCAAAACAUACCAUCAUUUUUCAUUUAGUCGGCGUUGUUAUUUACAUGAGAAUUAUUUCCUUCCUGAUGCACAUUAUCCUGGUUAUUGAUUGGCGGUGACUCAAUGGUCGCAUGUGUUCCAUUGCUUAUCUCAACAUUUUUAGAUGCCAUUUUCAAACACUGCCAUAAAACAAGGGUUAAUUGACAUGCCACUUAUUAUCCCUAUAUUCCGACCAACCAAUUAAAUAACAAAUAAGCUUAGGUAGGUCAUACUAGCGAAGGAUUUACUCGUCUCUCUCCUCCUAGUUCUAGCCCCAAAUCUCAGCCAGAGAUCAUAUCCCUAAGCUUUGAUACCAACUGUGACGCCCCCAAAAUAAGUAUAAAAAACCCAUUCCGAGUCGCUAAAUGCAUGGUACAUAACUUAAAUACAAACUUAAUUUAUAUAACUGUUGUGCAAAAUACGACAACACAAUAGCUGAGUUUUAACACGAAUAUUAUCUCGUAGACAAUAUCCAAACUCAAAUGAAGUCCUCAUAAUAAUUAUUAUCACACUAUUUCAUAGAAUAGAGAGGACUACUAUAGCAACCAUCUUGGACCGUCACUCCAUUCUCCGACUAGUCCCAACUAUAUUCUCAUUUCCUGAAAAGAACAAUGAAAGAAAAGGGUGAGUUGAACUAGCCUAGUAAAGAAUAUUAUGACUAAGAUAAUGCAAAAUAAAUUAUCCUUAGCCUUCAACAAUGUAAAACUGAUAGAAUACAAUAGACAACAAGUUUAACUAUAGCGGAACAAGCAAUCCAUUAGAAGAGUCAAGUAGAACAUGAUGUCUACUAUCUUCUAUGAUUUAAAAGUUCAUCAUCAAUAUUUUAUCUUUGCAACAAAAUUCAAUAAAUAAUCCACAUCACUGAAUUAUCCAUGCACUACGGGCCAAGGAUAUUCGUUAGUAUCACAUCCUUGAAUUAUCCAUGCACUACGGGCCAAGGAUAUUCAUUAUUAUCACAUCCAUAAAUUAUCCAUGCACUACGGGCCAAGGAUAUUUGUUUGUAUCACCAGUGGGCAUGAUCAUGCCAACAACUGUCCAUCAAUGCACUACGGGCCAAUGAGGACUUUUACCACAUCAUUUGUAACAUUAUAGGUCAUGAUUAUACCGAUACAUAAUUCCUGGUCAUAAUCACACCCAUCAACAGUCCAUCUAUGCACUACGAGCCAAAGAUGACUUUCAUUACAAUAUAAGCAUGAGGAUGAUGACAAUGAUAUAAGAAUUCAAUUAAGUGAGAGCAAGGAUAAAUUUUAAAGAUUUAUAAUUCAAUUUAUCCAGAGUUCAAGAAUGUCCAAAUUGUCAACAUGACAAUUGCUUUGUGGAGUAAAAUUCAAGAAUAAUAUUCAUGUAUUAAAAAUAAUUUAGACAGAAAAGAAAUUAAUUUUUUGUCGUGAAUAGUACCCCAGAUGAAUAGUACCCUGUGAAAAGUACUUUGUGAAUAGUACCCCAUGAAUAGUACCAUAUGUAUGAAUAGUACUGUAUAUAUGAAUAGUACCAUAUGUAUGAAUAGUACCCAUGAAUAAUACUCUGGCAUGAAAAGCUUAAAAUUUAACAAGAAUGUUCAAAAAAAUAUUUCAGUGGAACAAUACUAGAUGAAGCGCAAAAUUCAAGGAUAUUUUACUAAUUUCAAAGAGCAUAGAAGCAAUACUUAUCAACAUAAGUGUAGAAUUAGGAAUAUAAAACGAAAUAAUAUUACUUACAUACUACAGAGUAAGAAAGAAAAUAUUAUUUCUUAUGAAUACUGAACAAAAUAAUAUCCCUUACCUUAAAAGGAGAGUAUUUCUGACUGGUAUGGCAGAAAUAUUCUUGAAGAAAACUUAUACUAUUUUUUAGACUCAAAGCUUCGUUAAACUAAAAAGAAAUAUGCUCAAUAUUAUAGAAGAAGAAUUCUCUGAUUCUGGUGUGAUUUUAAAUUCUAAAAUAAACAUCCUAUUUAUAUGAGAAUGGCAGGAUACUAUUUAAGAAAAAAAAAUUCAAGGAUGUACAAGAAAAAUAUCAUGGUUUGCAAUUCAUCAGCAUGUUAUUUGCAACAACCAAUAAGGGAGUUCCCUCCCAUGAAGGUAACUAGACUUUGGGAUAUUUAAACCAAUGAGGGAGCACCUUCAUUCAUAAGUUAGUGAAUAGGAAUUUCAUAUUUGAACAUUUUGGCCAAUAAGAUUUGAUCUUUGCAAUUAAUUUUAAAAUCUUCUAAAUAGAUAACCUUAUUUGAAGGUAAUCAAUUCGUAUCCUCUAAAAUUAAAUAGAAAAAAAUACUAAUUUAACAAGAUAAUUGAACAAACGUCUUCCACUUAUCAAUUAUUAUUCUUAUCUUUAAUCAACACAAUCUUUCAACAAUUAUUCAUUAUUAAUAUUAUAAAUCAUAAUAUUAACAACCAGAUCAUUCCCAGGAAAGAAGGGGCUUUCCGAUAAAGACUUCUCCUUAUUGGCGUGCAAUUAGGUGACCAAACCCCUUUCCUCGACAGAACUUUCUAAACAUUUUCAAUAAUUAAAAUAAUAAUAUGAAUAAUUUUAUCGUCUCAAUUAUUGAUUUUAUAAUAUAAAAUAUUAUGCAGAUGGUACUGUGACAAUAAUUAAAUCAAUAAUGUGAGAUACUAUGCAGUAACUACUGUUGUAAUAAUUGAGUAUAACUGAGUCACUUCUCACUUAAGCAUCAAUAAUCAAAGAUACUAUACAAUACCGUGUGUUACUAUGCAUCCAUGCGUAUUACUGUACUUAUAUCACUGGGUAUUUCAACAGUUAACGGUAAAAGUUUUGCCGUUAUUUUUAUAAAAAGUUAUUUUUGUCGUUUUCAAACUCCGACAGUAAUUCUAUUAUGGGGGUCCACCAAUGAUUGUGCCGUCAUACGAAAUUCCCUGAUAAAGCAAAUAUUCCCCGACCAAACUAAUGUUUUAUGACAACUUGCUCACUUUGCAAAAUUUGUAAAUAUUACUCACAACUAUAACAUUAUAUAAAAUCCACACUUUAUUAUUCAAAAUAAUAUUUAGAGAAAUUAAAUCUUUAUUCAUAAAAAGUUGGGGUCUUAUAGACAGGUUACUCCCGCAGAUUAAUAAAGAAUGAAUAUGAAGGGUUAUUCACCAUGCAUGCGGUAAUCCACGUAGACAGGUUACUCCUGCAGAUUAAUAAAGAAUGAAUACGAAGGGUUAUUCACCAUGCAUGCGGUAAGCUGCGUAGACAGGUUACUCCCGCAGAUUAAUAAAGAAUGAAUACGAAUGGUCAUUCACCAUACAUACGGUAAUCCGCAUAGACAGGUUACUCCUGCAGAUUAAUAAAGAAUGAAUACGAAGGGUCAUUCACCAUGAAUGCGAUAAUCUGCGUAGACAGGUUAUUCCCGCAGAUUAAUAAGGAAUAGAAUAAUAAUCCUUAUGAAUAUGAAAAAAAUAACAUCCUUUACAAAUACAAAAGAAAUAAUACCCCUUAUCUUAGUAGGAGAUUAGAUACUGCAAUAUUGAAGUAGUAGAAUACUCUUUUUCUUUCUCUCUAUAGAUUCAGUGAAUUCGUAACAAACAAUGAAGGAAUGAGCUUCUAUUUAUAGGGGAAUGUACUAAAUAGUAACUAAUUCACGAACGGUCUAGAUUGAUUUACUAUUAAAACGGACGGUCUAAAUUGAUUUACUAUUAUAACUUCAACCGGCGGUCUAUAUUGAUUUACUAUUAUAACUUCAACCAACGGUCCAUAUUGAUUUAUUAUUAUAUCUUCAACCAAUGGUUCGAAAAUUUUGCACAUCUCCUCAUGGAAUAAUAAGUCAAACUUACAACAGACGCCUCACGACAAAUCCCUCUAUUUAUAUUAAAAAUUGAAUAAAUAUUUACCACAAAUCAUUUAUCUCCAAUCAAAACAUUUUUAAUCUUUCGACUAUUAUUCAUCAUUUAAUAUUAUAACUCAUAAUAUUGACAACCAGAUCAUUACUAAGAAAGAUGGGGCUUUCUGAUAAGGAUUUCUCCUUACUGGCGCGUAAUUAAAUAACCAAACCCCUUUCCUCGACAGAAUUUUCUAGACAUUGUCAAUAAUGAAUAUAAAAAUAUGAAUAAUUGUGUCGUCUCAAUUAUUGAUUUAAUAAUAUAAAAUAUUGUGCAGAUGAUACUGUGACAAUAAUUGAAUCAAUAAUAUAAGAUACUAUGCAGUAACUAUUGUGGAAAUUAUUGAAUGAGACUGAGUGACUUCUUACGUAAGCAUCAAUAAUCAGAGAUACUGUGCAAUACCGCAUCCUACUGUACAACAACGCGUAUUACUAUACUUUUAUCGCCAAAUAUUUCAAUAGUUUAACCGUAAAAGACUUGUCGUUAUUUUUUAUAAAAGGUUAUUUCUGUCGCUUUCUAUAUCCGACAGUUAUUCCGUUAUGUGGUCCACCAAUGAUUGCGCUGUCGUACGACUAUUCCCCGACAAAAAGAAUAUUUCCAGACUAAACGAAUAUUUUUUGACCAUUUGCUUACUUUGCAAAAUUUUCACAUAUCACCCAUAAGUAUAGCAUUAUAUUAAAUCAUCACCUUACUAUUCAAAAUAAUAUUUAGAGAAAAUUCAAUCUUUAUUUAUAAAAGUUGGGGUCUUACAUAUAACAUUUCUUCAAAAUAUUUGUUAUUUUCUAUCAUUAUUUGAAUUGACAUUUUUUCAUACGUCAAGUCUGUUUCAACCAUUAUAUGUUCAUAUUCAAUUACGUGCUUGUAAAUAGGUUUAUACGUUCGUAAAAUUGACACAUGAAACACAUUAUGUACAUGUUCUAACUCAGGAGGUAAGGCAACCUCGUACCCCACUUCCCCUACUCUUCUUAACACUUCAAAUGGUCCUAUAAAUCGCAAAUUUAACUUUCCUUUAUUGCCAAAACGUAUUUUUCCCUUUCAGGGUGCACUACAAGUAAAAUACUUGAGGUUGACGAAAUUAUUUCCGAUAGAUGACAGUCCAUCGAUAAUAAUAUAUUUUCGACGAAAUUUUCAGUCGAAAAUAAUUCAGUCAGAGGUAUUGUAAGUUCGAUAGAAUUCAGUCGGAAAAAAGGCUGCCCAAAGUGGCCAACCUUUCGCGCCUCAGGGAAUUUAUAUUUAGACGGAAUAAGCUUUAUGUUCGAUGAAUAAUCUAUCAAAAAUAAAUUCAAUUUGACGGACCUAUUUUUGACAGAAAUUCUGUCGAAACUAAUCUAUUUUAAUUGGGUCUUACGGAUUUGUCGAUCAUUUUCUUUCACUGCUGUAACGCCCCCAAAAUAGGUAUACAUCACCCAUUCUGAGUCACCAAAUACAUGGUACGAAAUUUAAAUACAACUUAAUUAUACAACUGUCGUGUAAAAUACGACAAAAUAUAGCUGAGAGUUUUGACACAAAUAUUGUCUUCUAGUAUCCAAACUCAAAUGGAGUCCUUAUUAAAAUUAUUAUCACACUAUUUUAUAAAAUAGUGAGGACUACUACAGCAACCAUCUUAGACCAUGUGACACCCCCAAAAUAGGUAUACAUCACCCAUUCUGAGUCGCCAAAUACAUGGUACAGAAACAACUACAACUUAUUAAUACAAUUGUCGUGCAAAAUACGACAACACAAAUACUGUGAGUUUAAAUAUAAAUAUUGGCCUCUAGACAAUAUCCAUACUCAAAUAAGUCCUCAUUACAAUUAUUGAUACACUAUUUUACAAAAAUAGUGAAGACUACUAAAACAACUUUUUAGAACCAUUACUCUAUACCCCGGCUAGAUCCUACUACUAUAUUCUCACCUCUUGAGAAGAAAAAUGGAACAAAAAGGAAAAGGGUGAGCUCAACUAGCCCAGUAAAGAAUAUUAUGACCAAGAUAAAGAACAACAAUUUAUCUUUAGCCUUCAACAAAUCAGAUAAAAUAUACUGGACAACCAGUUUUAGAUCAAUAAUCGUAGCGAAAAUAACAAUUCGUUAGAAGAGUUAAGUAGAGAAUGAAAUCUACUAUCAUCUAUGAAUUUAAAAGUCCAUCAUCAAUAUUUUAUCCCUGUAACAUCAAUCAAUAUACAUCUUGCAUUAAAUAUUCAUCUUUGCACUACGGGCCAAAGAUAUUAAUUUGUAUCACUAGUUGGUCAUGUUCAUCUCAACACCUGUUCAUCUUUACACUACGGGCCAAAGAUAUUUAUCAGGUAAUCAUUUAUCUUUGCACUACAGGCCAAAGAUAUUCAUCAAGUAUCACCAUUAAAGACUGAGGAUGAUGAAAAACAUUUUAGAUAACGAAUCCAGUGAAAUUAGAAGACAAAGAUUAGAGAUUCGUACUUUAGAUAAUUCAAGUUUAAAAAUACUCCAUAAUAAACCAUAAUGGAGUAAAAUUCAAGAAUGAAGAUCAAAAUAAGGAUACAAUCAAAGAUAGUAACCAUAAUAAACAUCUGGGACAAAGAAGCGAAAAUUUUAUUUUUCGGUGAAUAGUGUCAUAUUUAUGAAUAGUGUCGUAUACGUGAAUCGUAACCCCGACACAAAAAAGGUAGAAAUUUCACAAUAAAAUUCAUACCAAUAUUUCAGCAUAAUGAUAUUGAAAGAAAUAAUAUCAUUUACGAAGAAAAUAACAUCCCUUACCUAAAAAGAACAGUACUUUUGAUAGGAAUAUCGAAUGUAAAGCCGAAGGAAACUUAUACUGAAUAGCAACUCUCAAAGUAUCUUAAUACUCACAAAAAUACGCUCGAUAAUAUAGAGCGAGAAAACUUAUGUUUCUGGUGUAAUUUUCAAUUCUAACCUAAGCACCUAUUUAUAGGAAAAUGCUAGAACGCCAAAAUAGACUAAAUUAAUAAAAUAUUAUUAAUUUUAUUUUUCUUCUACGCAUGCCUACUUUGAAAACUUAUCAGCCAUCCACCUUUGAACAAAAAUUCCAGCACAUGUUUUCACAAAAACAAAAGUGGGUCCGACCCAUAAUUUUAAAAAAUAUUUAAUUUUUGAAACUUCAAUAAUUCAUAAUAAAUAGCCCUUUUAUCAGAAAAAUAUGAAUUUUAUAUCCAUUCCAUAGGAAAUCAAAUUCUCUACAACUUUGUAGCUUUAAGUUUUUCCAAAUUCUAAACGAAAAAUGCUCAAAAUCCACAUACGAACGAUUUUUAAUACCUCCAUUCCGACAAAAUACUGAUAAAAUACCCUCAGCAUUAAUUCCUUCAUUUAUAAUCACAUAAAAUAAAUAUUUCCCAAUUCGUCAUUUAUAUCCACAUAAAAUAAAUAUUUCCUUAUCAUAUAAAUCAAUAAUUAAUUAUUCACAAAUAAUAUUACAGAAUCUGUAACGACCCCAAAAUUCAUACAAUAUAAUUCUCGACUUCGGUCGUUAAUAAUACAUUCACCCUUUAAUUUUACAUCCUUAAACGAUAAUACAACCAUUGAAAUUUGCGGAAUAAUUAAAAUUUUCUAUUACAAACUAUCCUCGUUCCCAAAAUCUUCAACCUUUACAUCUAAAUAUUUCAGAAUCAUUUUAAUACUACAAUAAUUUACAUCGCAAAACGAUAUUACAAUUCAACAUUAAUACAUUAUUCGGAACCUUAAACAUGAUUUAAAUAAUAAUAACACAACCAAAGUGUAUAAAUCUUCAAGUAUCACAUCUGAUUCAUGUCUUUCAAGUAACACAUAACUUUACCUUGAAUCUUGAACCUGCAAAAGUGGUUAUUUGCAAGGUUGAGCUCGACAGCUCAGCAAAAUCUAACAGUUUUCAUGCAUCACAUAGCACAUAAUAACAUGUUCAAGAUAUAACAUACAUGCUACAGUUCAUAUAACAAGUAUAAAGAUUGAGUCUUUACUCAAUCAGCAUGCUUUAAUCAAUCAACAUAGUCAUAAAUCGACAUUAACAUUUCAUACUUUCAACAUAUAUAUAACACAUCAUGCUUUUUGCAAUAAAGAUUUAAAACAGUUAAUCAUCAAGUUCACAUAGCAAAUAAGAACUGAAAAACUUGUCUGAUCCGUAGUUUAUGAACUACAACUUAACUGCUUAACGCUUAUCUGCACUUCGUGUAUUCCUACACAGUUACAUAAUCAUGGAUUCACAUCCAUUAGUCAUAUAUUAACGCAUAGUAGUUGUAAUGUAAACUUUACGCUAUAUCUCAUAAGUCCGAUGACAUCCAACUUUGGAUAUGCUAUAAACAUCAUAUUAACCUAUUUUUAAAAGUUAUUGGACACCCAUUUUGGAAAAGAUAGACAGUCCAGAACAGUGUUCAAAACGGGCGUUCAAAUCUGUUUUUCAUUCUUUCCCAGCUUUACCCUCUCUCGCUAAAACAGUCAUAACUAAUUCGUUUCAAAACAUUUUUGAGCGAUUUUUGAGCCCACGCGAAGCUAACUUCCGAGGCUACAACUUUCAUUCUUUGACUAAUUCCAAAUUCAAAACACAGAAUUCCAGAAAAUUCAUUCAAGGUGAUUGUCCCGAGUUGGCUAGAUAGUUUUGACGCGACUACUUUGAAUGGUCAUAACUCUUUGCUCCGAAGUCGGAAUUAGUCUGUUCUAGAGUCUAUGGAAAGAUAAUUCAGUGUACUAUAACAUACCAAAAGUUCAGAAGUUUCUGGAAACAUUAACUGAUCGAAAUAGUGUCCCGAAUAGCACCUCCCGCUGCUGACUUUCAGUUUGACAAAUUCGACAAAUUUCCUUCCAAUCACCGUAACUCCCUCAUCCGAGGUCGGAAUGAGGUCAUUCCAAAGCCUAUGGCUUUCUAACUCAAUGCACUACAACUACCCAGAAACUCAAAAUUUUUCAGGCAACAUAGCUAUUCCAGAAUUUGACACUAUAGCCACUAUUCAUUCAGUUUUCAUUUCUAGCAUGGUUUACUAAAAUCUUCACCACGGAUUCAUUUUAACUCCUUUUUGGUUCAUUCAAGUUAGGUAAUCUUCAGAACUUAGAGGAAUAUAACAUACAAUCAUCAAAUUAAGCUUUUAGACAUAAAUCAAAAGCACAAAUGGUCCCCAAACUCAGUCCCAAAAACUGUCCAACAUAGUUCUUUAUAAAUAUUUUAUUUUGUGAGUUUUGGUUACACUUGGAUGAUGUUAAGGCUUCAUAUCUCUAAUUACAAUCAUUAGAACUCAUUUACAUAAUCAAUUACAAGCCAAAAUAAACAUCGUAAACUAACUAGUUUACUAACAAAACUAACUAAACUUCUAAAAUUUAAACUUUAACUAACAAACUAAAUAUAAUAUUUAAAAUAAUAACAUUACCAAAAAUUAAAUAAGAAACAUACCCGAAAAUACGAGUUUCACAAACUGAAUACGCACUUCCACGCCAAAAUUUAACUAAGGAGAUCUUUAUAAAAAGUCAUCCCACAACAAAGCUUUUCUCAAAAAUUUGAGGCCUUAUUAUUGGUGAAUGAAACAAAGGAUCAAGCCCUUCUAUUUAUAGGUUUAGCAAAGGGUAAAGUUCUCAAUUUAGUUGUUGUGGGACUUGAUUUAUACUAAUUCUAAUUUGUUUAUACUAAUUUUUCCUAUUUUCAACAUGCGAAGUGUAUUCAUUUAUCACGAAUUCGUUUCUUAACCAAUUUGAUCCGUUCAAGUUGAGUUGUUUUCGUUUUAUAGAGGAGAACAACAAUCAUCCAUCAAUUUAAAGUUUUCAUCAUGAAUUCAUCAUCAACUUUAGUCCCAAAGUACACAAAAAUACACAUUACAAUCAAAACUCAAACUCCUUUUCUUUAGUAUAAAUACAUGAAUUUGAUUUAUGAAAAUUUGUUUCUAGAUGACCAUUAUCAAAUUAUAAAUAUCUAAUAACAUAUAAAACAUCGUAACCCACAAAUUCAUUAACCAAAACUCCAAUUUUAAAAGAAACUCAAUAACACAUAAACUAGAAAUAUAAACUAGAUUAUGUACCUUUAAUUCCUUAAGAAAUAAAAUUAACCUUAUCAGUAAAAUUAUAAUUUCUAUUCAACCAUUAUAAUCAUAACAUUAUUUAAUAAAUUCUCACUCCUCUAAUUUAAUUAUUUAAUUAAAUUAGAAUAUCACAAUUAUACUCGCAUAAUAAAAUACGUAUAAAUCACAUCUAUUUAAUCACACUUAAAUAAAUUAUCGAAUAACAAUUUUCAUCAAAUAUUUAUUUAAUUCCAUAAAUAUUCAUUUUAUUCCAUAAAGUUUCCAACUAAAAUAUUUAAUGUACUUAAUAAAUAUUUUACUUGCAUUAUACUAACAUUUACAUUUUUAUGCAAUAUAUUACCUUCUCAAUUUAUUAAAUCAAUUAUACUUGUAUUAAUUCACUAUUUUAAUUAAGUGAAUUAUUCACGCUAUUUAUGAAACUUAACUCAUAAUAAUUUCUAUUGCCCACAAGGCAUAAUAAUUAAAAUUAUAUUAUCUAAUAACAUAAUUUCAACUUAAUUAAAUAAACUAAUAUUAUUUAAUUUCUUUAAUAGUUUAAUUAACUAUUAAAUCUCACAUUCUCCAACAUAUGAAUAUAUAAUUCUCUUCACACCAUAUCACAUAAUUCAAAAUAUAUACACCUCAUAAUAAGAAUUUUAAUUCUUAAAUUCUUAUUUUAAUAACUUAUAAAAAUUCGGGUUGUCACAUCCUUCCCUCCUUAUAAGGAUUCCGUCCUCGGAAUCAAAGAAACCUCCCUUACUCGGUUUUCACCAAAUCUCUUUUCAAAAUUUACUCGGGAUAUUACAGAAUCACAAUUAUGACAACCAGGCUGUUCCCAGGAAAGAGGGGGCUUUCCGAUAAGGAUUUCUCCUUACUGGCGCGCAAUUAGGUGACCAAACAUCUCCUUAGACAGAACUUCCUUAGCCAUUGCCAAUAAUACUAUCUAAUAAUAUUAUUCAAAUAAUAUGAAUUAUUGAUCUGAUAAUGGAAAAUACUGUGCAGUGACAAUUAUUAAAACAACAAUAAUAUAAAAUAUCAACGCAACAAUUAUUGAACCAAUAAAAUAAAAUAUUGAACAGUAAUUAAUGUAACAAUUAUUGAGUAGUGCCUUCUUACGUAAGAAUCAAUAAUUCAAAAAUACUGUGCAAUACCGUGUGCUACUGUGUAACCACGCGUUUUACUGUAUUUUAACCACCGGGUAUUCCAACAGUAUUAACGGUAACAAUUACGUCGUUAUUUAUAAAAACUCAAACUUGUCAUUUUCUUCAUCCGACCAUUUUCCGUUAUGGGGCCCACAAAUGGCUGCGCCGUCGUACGAAUAUUCUCCGACAGCAAGAAUAUUCCACGACCAAACGAAUAUUCCCCGACAAAAUGAAUAUUUUAUAACCACUUGCUUAUUUUGCAAAAUUUGCACAUUUCACCCAUAAUCAAAAUAUUAUAUCAAAUUAACACCUUAUUAUUCACAAUAGUAAUUAGAGGAAAUUCGAUUUUAUUUAUAAAAAGUUGGGGUCUUACAACCUUCCCUCGUUAUGAAAUUUCAUCCUAGAAAUUGACGUGCGUACCUGGUGUUUCAAAAAGGUGAGGAUACCUCGCUUUCAUUUCAGAUUCUAACUCCCGGGUCAUUUCUUCAAUAGCAUGGUUUCUCUAUAAAACCUUAACCUGUGGUAUAACCUUUGUGCGUAGGACAUGCUCUUUCCUAUCCAAGAUCUUGACAGGUACCUCCUCGUACGUUAAAUCUUCGGCUAUUUCAUCUGGUUCUAACGCAAUAAUGUGGUUCGGGUCUUUCACAUAUUUACAUAGCAUGAAUAUGUGAAUCACGUUAUGAACACGAGACAUACUUGGUGGUCAAACGAGUCUAUAGGCCACAAUUCCUACUCGAUCGAGGAUUUCAAAUGGACUAAUAAAUCGAAGGUUUGAGCUUUCCUCACAUCGCCAAUUCUCAUUUUUGGAAUAACGACUUCUUGCAUCUUCUUUUUUAUAUUCAUCAGCUCCAGGUUUGUAGCUUGAGCGUUGUAAAUUUAUAGAUUAAAGUCGGUUCUACUCGUAUAUUUGACAUCAUCAUGUGGUCCCUAGAGUCUUUAACUCUAUCUUUAUCAUUUGUAAAUUAUACAAAAUAGGUCUUUGUGUUCGACAAUAUCGCACUCGUACUCGCAUAUGAUCUUUUACUCAACGCGUCAGCUACCACGUUCGCUUUUCCAGGAUGGUAUGGUCAGAACAGGUGCCGAAAUGAGUCUCCUCUUGAGUUCUUAGAAGCUCUUCUCACAUUCCUUGCUCUAUUCAAAUUUGUAUCUUUUUGAGUCAGCUGAGUUAAUGGAGUAGUGAUUUGAGAAAAUCCUUUCACGAAUCUCCGAUAGUAACUAGCUAAGCCUAGAAAGCUAGAUAUUUCGAUUACUGACUUAGCUUGCUCUCAACUGUGACUCAUAUCCCAAUCUUGGAUAACACGUCACAAUGACGCCUAUUAUUUUACCACUGCACGAAUAUGACGUCCCCUAUGGAGAGUCUGGCUUCGGUGCAUUCCACAAAGGAAGUCACCAGAUAGAGGCUCGUGUACCAACUUCUAUAGUUGGGUUUUUAACUCCUAAAGUUCAAUAGGAGCCAUUUGAUAUGGAUUUUUGAAAAUGGGUUUUGUAUCGGGUUCAAAGUCGAUACAAAAUUCAAUAUCACACUCUGGGAGUAGGCCAGAAAGUUCUUCAGAAAAUACAUUAGGAGAUUUACUAACAACAUAAAUAUUAUUCAAAUCUGACGUAUUUUUUUGUUCAAGUCCAUAACAUGGGCUAAGAAAGCUUGACAUCCGUUUUUCAAUAAACGAAUGGCUUUAUGGCUUGAUAUGACAAUGAUUGAUUUUAGUGGUUUAGUUGCUUGAAUUCGAAUAACAGGUUGGUUAGGAAUAUGAAAACUAACAACCUUACGAAAACAAUCAAUUUUGGCAUGAUGAGUGGUUAACCAAUCAAUCCCUAAAAUCACAUCAAAUGCAAGUAUCUUUAAAGAGAUAAGAUCAACAGGUAAUGUGAUGGUACCAAUUUGAAUCAAGCAAAAUUUAUAAACAGUGGAUGUAACGAAAGUUUCUCCUAACGGAGUUUCCACAGAUAAGUCAAAGUCCAAUUUCUCCGGAGUCAAGUUUAAACGUUGAGCACAAGCAGGAGAGAUAAAAGAAUGGGUAGAACCGGUAUCUAAUAAGGUAUAGACGUCGCAAGAAUUUAUAAUUAACUAACCCGUGAUACCUUCGUUCGGGUUCCUCGCAUUUUGGGCAGUCACGACAAACGCUCUUCCAGAAACCGCCGACUUUGUUUUGUCCGUAUCCGCCUUUGGUGCCACCAUCCUAGCUGGACUUGAUUUCGCUAUAGGACAAAAUCGAGCUAUGUGACCUUCUUUUCCACAACUAAAACAUGCCUUGGAAGGAUAUGAACAGUUUGGACUUAUAUGUCCCUCCUCUCCGCAUCUGUAGCAUCUAACUGGCGGUCGUUCUCCUCCCCUAGAAUUUGUUGUUGGUGCAGGUGCUGCUGCCGACGUCUUCCCGUAAUCGUUAAAUCUUCUCUUCUUGAAAUUUCCACUUGAAUUAUUUCUUCUAUUAUCUUGGCCAUGAUUACCACCGAAGUGGUUACCAUUUCUGGCAUGAUAAUAUCCUCCACGAUGGUUAUCAUUGUUCCGAUGACCGUUGCCACCGGUACGAUUAUCAUCGAGUUGUUGGUCGUUAUUCUUCGGUUGAGCUGACUCAUUAUCGCGCUCCAAUAACUGAGCCCUAUUCAAAACAUCUAAAUAUAAACAAAUUUUGUGAGAAAUGAGGUAUUGACGUAUUUCGGGUUUCAAACCUCGCAGAAACAUUCGCGUCAUUCUCUUUUCAUUAUCAACCAAAUGGGAUGCAAAUCGGGACAACUCGGCAAACUUAGCUUCGUACUGUGACACGUUCAUAUUUUUUUCCUCCAGCUUGAUGAACUUUACCUCCUUCAUGUGACGAAUACUUUCAGGAAAGUACUUGUCAUUGAACAGUUUUUGAAAUGUUUCCCAAGACAUAUUGAGUUCGGCAGGCUGGGCACGCUUCACAGAUUCCCACCAUUAAUCUGCCUCACCACGGAACAUAAAGGUGGCGAAUGGAACCUUCUGUUCCUUCGUACAUCCCAAGACAUCAAAUAUCUUGAUAAUUUGCUUAACCCACGUUUCUGCCUUGAUCGGAUCCGGCUUUCCCUAGUAUUCUGGUGGUCCCAACUCUUUGAACUGCUUGGCUGUGACAAACCGCGCGUUGUUAUCAUUUCCACCCGUAUUUUAUACACGAGUCUCCCUCGUCUGAUUUUGCAUGAACUGCAAAAAGCUUCUAAACAUCCUAUCAUUUAUCGUUUGUUCGGUAGUAUUGUUUACAGGAGGGAUAUUGCCUUCCUGUUGCACGUUCUCCUGAUUGGUGACUAAAGGUGUUUCCACAGUCUCAUACACUCCAUUAUUAAUGUUCUCAGCUGCCAUUUUUAAAUACUACCAUAAAACAAGGGUUAAUUAAACAAAUUAACAUAUCACAUAAUAUCCCUAUAUUAUGACCGGCUAAUAAAUAAGCUUACGUAGGAUACACUAGCAAAGGAUUUACUUAUCUCUCCCCUCCUAGUUCUAUUCGUCGAUCUCCGCCAGAGACCAUAUCCCUAAGCUCUGAUACCAACUGUGACGCCCCCAAAAUAGGUAUACAUCACCCAUUUUGAGUGGCCAAAUACAUGGUACAGAAACAACUACAACUUAUUAAUAUAAUUAUCGUGCAAAAUACGACAACACAAAUACUGUGAGUUUAAAUACAAAUAUAGUCCUCUAGACACACUCAAAUAAGCCCUCAUUACAAUUAUUGAUACACUAUUUUACAAAAAUAGUGAGGACUGCUAAAACAACUUUCUAGAACCAUUACUCCAUACCCCGGCUAGAUCCUGUUAUAUUCUCACCUCCUGAGAAGAAAAAUGGAACAACAAGGAAAAGGGUGAGCUCAACUAGCCCAGUAAAGAAUAUUAUGACUAAGAUAAAGAACAACAAUUUAUCGUUAGCCUUCAACAAAUCAGAUAAAAUAUAAUGGACAACCAGUUUUAGAUCAAUAUUCGCAGCGGAAAUAACAAUUCAUUAGAAGAGUUAAGUAGAGAAUGAAAUCUACUAUCAUCUAUGAAUUUAAAAGUCCAUCAUCAAUAUUUUUUCCCUGUAACAUCAAUCAAUAUACAUCUUGCAUCAAAUAUUCAUCUUUGCACUAUGGGCCAAAGAUAUUAAUUUGUGUCACUAGUUGGUCAUGUUCAUCUCAACACCUGUUCAUCUUUGCAGUACGGGCCAAAGAUAUUCAUCAGGUAAUCAUUCAUCUUUGCACUACAGGCCAAAGAUAUUCAUCAAGUAUCACCAUUAAAGACUGAGGAUGAUGAAAAACAUUUUAGAGAACGAAUCCAGUGAGAUAAAAGGACAAAGAUUAGAGAUUCGUAAUUUAGAUAAUUCAAGUUUAAAAAUACCCCCUAAUAAACCAUAAUGGAGUAAAAUUCAAGAAUGAAGAUCAAAACAUGGAUACAAUCAAACAUAGUAACCAUAAUAGACAUCUGGGAUAAAGAAGAUAAAAUUUAUUUUUCGGUGAAUAGUAUCGUAUUUAUGAAUAGUGUCGUAUACGUGAAUAGUAACCUCGACACAAAAAGGUAGAAAUUUCACAAUAAAAUUCAUACCAAUAUUUCAGCAUAAUGAUAUUAAAAGAAAUAAUAUCAUUUACAAAAAAAAUAACACCCCUUACCUAAAAAAAAUAGUACUUCUGACUGGAAUAUCGGAUGUAAAGCCGAAGGAAACUUAUACUGAAUAGCAAUUCUCAAAGUAUCUUAAUAAUCACAAAAAUACGCUCGAUAAUAUAGAGAGAGAAAACUUAUGUUUCUGGUGUGAUUUUCAAUUUUAAUUAACCUAAGCAUCUAUUUAUAAGAAAAUGCUAGAACGCCAAAGGAGACUAAAUUAAUAAAAUAUUAUUAAUUUUAUUUUUCUUCUACGCAUGCCUACUUUGAAAACUUAUCAGCCAUCUACCUUUGAACAAAAAUUUUUCUAGCAUAAGUUUUCAAAAAACAAAAGUGGGUCCCACCCAUAAUUUUAAAAAAUAUUUAAUUUUUGAAACAUCAAUAAUUCAUAAUAAAUAGCCCUUUUAUCAGAAAAAUACGAAUUUUAUGUCUAUUCCAUAGGAAAUCAAAUUCUUUACAGCUUUGUAUCUUUAAGUUUUUCCAAAUUCCAAACGAAAAAUGCCCGAAAUCUACAUACGGAUGAUUUUUAAUACCUUCAUUCUGACAAAAUACUGAUAAAACACCUCAGUAUUAAUUCCUUCAUUUAUAAUCACAUAAAAUAAAUUUUUCCCUAUCCUUCAUUUAUAUCCACAUAAAAUAAAUAUUUUUUUUAUCAUAUAAAUUAAUAAUUAAUUAUUCACAAAUAAUAUUACAAAAUCACAAUUAUAAUAACCAGGUUGUUCCCAAGAAAGAGGGGACUUUCCAAUAAGGAUUUCUCCUUAUUGGCGCGCAAUUAGGUGACCAAACCUCUCCUUAAACAGAACUUCCUUAGCCAUUGCCAAUAAUGCUAUCUAAUAAUAUUAUUCAAAUAAUAUGAAUUAUUGAUCUGAUAAUGGGAAAUACUGUGCAGUGACAAUUAUUAAAAUAAUAAUAAUAUAAAAUAUCAACGCAGCAAUUAUUGAACUAAUAAAAUAAAAUAUUAAAUAGUAAUUAUUGUAACAAUUAUUGAGUAGUGCCUUCUUACGUAAGAAUCAAUAAUUCAAAAAUACUUUGCAAUAGUGUGUGCUACUAUGCAACCACGCGUAUUACUGUAUUUUAACCACCGGGUAUUCCAACAGUAUUAACAGUAACAAUUACGUCGUUAUUUAUAACAACUAAAACUUGUCGUUUUCUUCAUCCGACCGUUUUCCAUUAUGGGCCCCACAAAUGGGUGCGCCGUCGUACGAAUAUUCCCUGACAGCAAGAAUAUUCCACGACCAAACGAAUAUUCCCCGAUAAAAUAAAUAUUUUAUAACCACUUGCUUAUUUUGCAAAAUUUGCACAUUUCACCCAUAAUCAAAACAUUAUAUCAAAUUAACACCUUAUUAUUCACAAUAAUAAUUAGAGGAAAUUCGAUUUUAUUUAUAAAAAGUUGGGGUCUUAUAGACCAUCACUCCGUUCCCCGACUAGUCCCAGCUACGUUCUCAUUUCCUGAAGCGAAAAAUGAAAACAAAAGGGUGACCUCAACUAGCCCAGUAAAAAAUAUUAUGACUAAGAUAAUGCAGAAUAAAUUAUCGUUAGCCUUCCACAGUGUUAAACUGAUAAAAUACAAUAAACAUCAAGUUUAACUGCAGCGGAACAAGAAAUCCAUUAGAAGAUUCAAGUAGAGCAUGAUAUCUACUAUCUUCUAUGAUUUUAAAAGUUUAUCAUCAAUUUUAUCGCUGAGACUCAACUUAAUAAUCCACAUCACUGAAUUAUCCCUGCACUACGGACCAAGGAUAUUCAUUAGUAUCACAUCCACGAAUUAUCCAUGCAGUACGGGCCAAGGAUAAUCAUGUUAUCACCAAUGGUCAUGUUAAUGCCCACAACUGUCCAUCAUUGCACUAUGGGCCAAUGAGGACUUUUACACAAUCAUUUGUAACAUUAAAGGUCAUGAUUAUACCGAAUGAUCCCUAGUCAUAAUCAUACCGAUCAACAGUCCAUCUAUGCAUUACGGGCCAAAGAUGACUUUCAUAACAAUAUAAGCAUGAGGAUGAUAACAAUGAUAUACGAAUUCAAUUAAAUGAAAGCAAAUGAUAAUUUUUUUAAGAUUUAUAAUUUAUUUUAUCUAGAAUUUAAAAAUGUCUAAAUUAUCAACAUGAUACUGCUUUGUGGAGUAAAAUUCAAGAAUAAUAUUGUAUCAAAAAUAAUUUGGACCGAAAAGAAAUCAAUUUUUGUCAUGAAUAGUACUCCAGGUGAAUAGUACCCCAUGAAUAGUAAUUCGAGAAUAGUACCCAGUGAAUAGUACUCCGGCAUGAAAAGGUUAAAACUUAUCAAGAAUGCUCAGAAUAAUAUUUCUAUGAAAAGAUACUAGAUGAAGCGCAAAUUUCAAGGAUAUUCUACUAAUUUCAUGGAGUAUAGAAGCCAAAACUUAACAAAUUGAGUGUAGAAUUCAAAAUCUGAAAUGAAAUAAUAUUACUUACAUACUACAGAGUAUGAAAGAAAAUAUUAUUUCAUACGAAUAUUGAACAAAAAUAAUAUCCCUUACCUUAAAAAGGAGAGUAUUCCAACUGGUAUAGCGGGGAUAUUCUUUAAGAAAAACUUUUACUGUUUUCUAUACUCAAAACUUUCUAAAACUCAAAAGAAAUACGCUCAAUAUUAUAGAAGAAUAAUUUUCUAAUUCUAGUGUAAUUUUCAAUUCUAACUAAGCAUCCUAUUUAUAGAAAAAUGGCAUGAUACUAUUUGGAUGCACAGUAAUGAAAAAAAUCAUGGACGCACAGUGCUUGAUCACAAAAAAUUUCUGAUUUUCAAAAUUGUUACUAUGCAAACACUAUGCAGCCACUAUGCAAACACUAUACAUAACAAAAUAUAAUAUAUUCUAUUUUUCAUAAAAAAUAAAACUUAUUAUAAUAUAUAUAUAUAUAUAUCAUAUAUACACUCGUGACCAAUCCAUUCUUGACAUUUUUUCCCCUUGACAUUUCAUUUCACCAACAUAUGGGCCCCACCUGACUCACUCGUGGCCCCCCAUCACUUAUAUAUAUAUAUAUAUAUAUAUAUAUAUAUAUAUAUAUAUAUAUACUGAAUAAAUUUUUACCGAUUAUUUUAAAAAAUGGAUAAAUGGGGGUCCAUAAAAUAAGCAAAAUUUACAUCAAAUACUUCAUAAAAAACCCCAUACAUAUUUUUAACAACAUUUAUUCAUCAUUAUUAUAACUCGUAAUAUUAACAACCAGAUCGUUCCCAAGAAAGAGGGGGCUUUUCGAUAAGGAUUUCUCCUUAUUGGCGCGCAAUUAGGUGACCAAACCCCUUUCCUCGACAGAAUUUUUUAGACAUUAUUAAUUAUGCAAAUAAUAAUAUGAAUAACUUGUCAUCUCAAUUAUUAAUUUAAUAAUAUAAAAUAUUGUGACAAUUUAUGAAUCAAUAACGUGAGAUACUAUGCAGCAAUUACUGUAGAAAUAAUUGAGUAUAACAGAGUGACUUCUCACGUAAGCAUCAAUAAUCAAUAUCGUGUGCUACUAUGCAACCACGCGUAUUACUGUACUUUUAUCACCUGAUAUUUCAAAAGUUAACUGUAAAAUGUUCAUCGUUAUUUUUAUAAAAAGAUAUUUCUGUCGUUUUCUAACUCUGAAAAUAAUUCUAUUAUGGGGUCCACUAAUGAUUGUGUCGUCGUACGAAUAUUUCCUGUUAACACGAAUAUUCCCCGACCAAUCGAAUAUUUUAUAACAACUUGCAUACUUUGCAAAAUUUAUAAAUAUUACCCACAACUAUAACAUUAUAUUAAAUCCACACCAAAAUAUUAAAAAAUAUAUUUCGAGAAAAAUUAAUCUUUAUUCAUGAAAGUUGGGGUCUUACAACCUCUCUUUCUUAUAAAAUUUCGUCCUCAAAAUUGGGGUACGUACCUGAUAUGUCGAAGAGGUGAGGAUACCUUAAUUUCAUUUCUGAUUCUAACUCCCAGGUUAUUUCCUCAACAUCAUGGUUUCUUCACAAAACUUUGACUUGAGGUAUAACCUUGGAGCGUAGAAUAUAUUCCUUCUUAUCCAAGAUUUUAACAGGUACCACUUCAUACAUUAAAUCUUACGCUAUUUCUUAUGGUUCUAACUCAAUAAUGUGGUUCGGGUCUUCCACAUAUUUACGUAACAUGGAUAUGUGAAAAACAUUAUGAACGCGAGAUAGACUUGGCAGUAAGGUGAGUCUAUAGGCCACAGGUCCUACACGAUCAAGGAUUUUGAAUGGGCCAAUGAAUCGAGGAUUGACCUUUUCUCUCUAUCCAAAUCUUGUAACUCCUUUCCAUGGUGCCACACAUAACAACACAUGCUCUCUAAUAUUGAAUUUAACGUCCUUUCGAUGAAGAUCAGCAUAACUCUUUUAUCGAUCUUGUGAGGUUUUUAUACGUUGUCGGAUCAUUUGAAUCUUUUCUGUAGUCAUACGUACCAAUUUCGGUCCCAACAAGGUUGCUUCACCCACCUCAUCCCAGCAUACUGGAGGAUGACACUUGCGUCCAUACAACGCCUUGAAUGGAUCCAUGCCAAUACUUGUUUGAUAACUGUUGUUGUAGGAAAAUUCCACCAAUGGCAACAACUUGUCCCAACUUCUUUUAAAGUCAAGGACACAGAGUCUUAAUAGAUUUGCAAGAGUUUGAAUAGUCCUCUCCGACUGUCCGUCCGUUUGAGGAUGAUAUGCCGAACUAAAUCGUAAAUUCGUGCCUAUAGCUUUUUGCAAACUAACCCAAAAUCGUGAAGUGAAUCUUGGGUCUCGAUCAGAAACUAUGGAUGCUGGCAUACCACGCAGUCUUACAAUCUCAUUUAUGUAUAUAUGAGCAAGACGUUCAAGUGAAUAAGUUUCUCAUAUAGGUAAGAAAUGAGCAGAUUUGGUCAAUCUAUCAUCAAUGACCCAAAUUGCAUCUAUGCCUUGAGAAAUCUUAGGAAGACCAGUAACAAAAUUCAUGGUAAUGUGCUCCCACUUCUAUUCUAGAAUUUUAAGUGGUUGCAAUGGACCUUUUGGCACUUGAUGUUGCGCCUUAACUAGUUAACACAUUAAACACCUUGAGAUAAACUCCGCGAUCUCUCUUUUCAUAUUGCUCCACCAAAAUGUAUGUUGAAGAUCAUGAUACAUUUUGGUACUCCCAGGAUGGAUUGCAAAUGGUGUGUUUUGCACCUCUAUCCUGAUUUUAUACUUUAAAUCAGGAUCGUUAGGAACAUAAAUUCUGGAGUUAACUCUAAGUAUUCCUUCUUCAUCGAUUCUUGCUUCUGAAAUAGCACCUUCUUGCACUUUCUUCUUCAUACGCAUCAGCUCCAGGUCCGUGGCUUGAGCAGCUUUAACUUUAUUGAUUAAAGUCAGUUCUACUCGUAUAUUUGCCAUCAUCACGUGGGUCCUAGGAGUCCUUAUCUCUAUCUCCAUCCUUUUUAAGUCAUACCAAAUGGUCCUUUGCGUUGACAAUAUCGCACUCGUACCCGCAUAUGAUCUUCUACUCAACGCGUCAGCUACCACGUUCGCUUUUCCAGAAUGGUAUUGAAUGGUGUGAUCGUAAUCUUUUAACAGCUCGAGCCAACAUCAAUGUCUCAUGUUGAGUUCCUUUUGGGUGAAGAAAUAUUUGACAUUUUUAUAAUCCGUAUAGAUCUCCACUUUCUCCCCAUACAGGUAAUGCCUCCAGAUCUUUAGUACGAAAAUGAGUGCUGCCAACUCUAAAUCAUGAGUAGGAUAAUUCCUCUUAUAUUCUUUGAGUUGUCGUGAGGCACAAGCUAUGACUUUCCCCUUUUGCAUGAGAACACAUCCUAACCCUCUGCCUGAAGCAUCGCUGUAGAUGACAAAUCCCUCCGAACCAGAUGGUAUUGUCAUAACAGUGCUGAAAUGAGUCUCCUCUUGAGUUCUUGAAAAAUCUUCUCACAUUCCUCGCUCCAACCAAAAUUUGUAUCUUUUCGAGUCAGCUGAGUUAAUGGAGUAGCGAUUCGAGAAAAUACUUCCACGAAUCUCUGAUAAUAACCAGCUAAGCCUAAAAAGCUACGUAUUUCGGUCACUAACUUAGGUUGUUCCCACCUUUAUUUUGCUUCAAUCUUUGUUGGGUCAAUAGAUAUUCCAUGAUAUGAUAUCACGUGCCCAAGGAAUGCUACUUCCUCAAGCCAGAACUCGUAUUUCUUCAACUUGGCAUAUAACUUGUUCUCACGAAGCUUUUGGAGUAUCAGCCUCAAGUGUUGCUCAUGAUCUUCACGACUUUUGGAGUAUAUUAGAAUGUCAUCAAUAAAGACAACCAUAAAAUGAUCCAAAUAUUCCUUGAAUACUCGGUUCAUCAUAUCCAUGAAGGUAGCAAGAGCAUUAGUCAAUCCAAAAGACAUGACUAGGAAUUCAUAAUACUUGUACCGAGUUUUGAAAGCAGUCUUUGGGAUGUCAUCGGUUUUAAUCUUGAAUUGAUGAUAUCUGGAAUGAAUAUCAAUCUUUGAAAAGAAUUUGGCACCUUGCAACUGGUCAAACAGGUCAUCAAUGUGUGGCAACGGGUACCUAUUUUUGAUGGUGGCAUGAUUUAACUCCCGAUAGUCAAUACAAAGUCGCAUACUUCCAUCUUUCUUCUUUACGAAUAGAAUAGGAGCACCCCAAGGAGACGUACUAGGACGAAUGAAAUCGAUGUCUAACAAUUCCUGCAGUUGGGUUUUUAACUCCUGAAGUUCAAUAUCAGCCAUUCGAUAUGGGGCUUUGGAAAUGGGUUUUGUACUAGGUUCAAGGUCAAUACCAAAAUCGAUUUCACGCUCCGUGGGUAGGAUAAGAAGUUCUUCAAGAAAUAUGUCAGGAAAUUUAUUAACAAUAGGAAUAUCAUUCAAAUCUGACGUAUUAUUGUUUAAAUCCGUGAUAUGGGCUAAGAAAGCUUGACAUCCAUUUUUCAAUAAACGAAUAGCUUUAUGGCUUGACACGAUAGUGAUUGACUUUAGUGGUUUGGUUGCUUAAAUUCGCAUAAUAGGUUGGUUAAGAAUAUGAAAGCUAACAACCUUACGAAAAUAAUCAAUUUUAGCAUGAUGAGUAGUUAACCAAUCAAUCCCUAAAAUCACAUCAACUGCAAGUAUUUUCAAAAAGAAAAGAUCUACAGGUAAUGUGAAGGUGCUGAUUUGAAUCAAACAAGAUUUAUAAACAGUGGAUGUAAUGAAGGUUUCUCCCAACGGAUUUUCAACAGAUAAGUCAAAGUCUAAUUUCUCCGGAGUCAAAUUUAAACAUUGAACGCAAGUAGGAGAAAUAAAAGAAUGGGUAGAACUGAUAUCAAAUAAGGUAUACACUUCGCUAGAGUUUAUGAUUAGCUUACCCGUGAUGAUUUCGUUCGGGUUCCUUGCUUUUUGGGAGGUCACGACAAACACUCUCCCUUGAACUACCGGCUUUGACUUCUUUGGGACGGCCUUUGGUGCCUCCAUCCCAACUGGACUUGACUUCACUGCACGACAAAAUCGGGCUAGGUGACCUUCUCUUCCACAAUUAUAACAUGUUUUGGACUGCUGCGUACAGUUUGGACUGAUGUGUCUCUCCCAUCCGUAUUUGUAGCAUACAAUCGGCGGUCAUUCUCCUUCCAUAACAACUGGUGUUGGUGCUGACAUCUUUCCAUUAUUAUUGAAUCUCCUCUUCUUAAAAUUUCCACUCCUAUUGUCUUGGACAUGAUUACCACCGAAGUGGUUACCAUUUCUGGCAUGUUGAUUCCCUCCACGUUUGUUGUCACCGCUUUGAUGACUGCUACCACUGAUAUUAUCAUUUUGUCGGCUGCUCUCUCAUGGUUGGGUUGACUCAUUAUCGCGUUCCAAUAACUGAGCCCUAUUAACAAUAUCUAAAUACAAACACAAUUUGUGAGAAAUAAAGUAUUGACGUAUUUCGGGUUUCAAACCUCGCAGAAACAUUCGCGUCAUUCUCUCCUCAUUAUCAACCAAAUGGGAUGCAAACCGGGACAACUCGAAAAACUUAGCCUCGUACUGCGACACAUUCAUAUUAUUUUGCUCCAGCUUGAUGAACUCAACUCUUUCAUGUGAUGAAUACUUUCGGGAAAGUACUUGUCGUUGAAUAGUUCUUGAAACUUCUCCCAAUACAUCUUUAGUGCGGCAGGUUGAGUAUGCUUUACCGAUUCCCACCAGUAAUCUGCCUCUUCUUUCAAUAUAAAGGUGGCAAAGGGAGCUUUUUGCUCCUCGAAGCAUCCCAAGACAUCAAAUAUCUUGGUGAUCUGCUUUCUCCACGUCUCUGCCUUAAGUGGUUCUGGCUUUCCCAAAAACUCCGGUGGUCCUAGCUCCUUGAACUGCUUAGCGUGACCGUUCGAGAGUUUUCAGUGUUUCCACCUGCAUUUUGAACGGGAGUCUCUCUUUUCUGAUGUUGCACGAAUUGCAAAAAGCUCCUAAACAUUUCGUCGUUCAUCAUUUGGUCGGUGUUGUUGUGUACAUGAUGAUUAUUUCCUUCCUGAUGCACAUUAUCCUAGUUAUUGAUCAUUGGUGACUCAAUGGUCUCAUGUGCUCCAUUGCUUAUCUCAACAUUCUCGGAUGUCAUUUUUAAACACUACCAUAAAACAAGGGUUAAUUGAAAUGCCACAUAUUAUCCCUAUAUUCUGGCCGACCAAUUAAAUAACAAAUAAGCUUAGGUAGGUCAUACUAGCGAAGGAUUCCCCAUCUCUCCCCCUAGUUCUAGCCUCACAUCUCAGCCAGGGAUCAUAUUCCUAAGCUUUGAUACCAACUGUGACGCCCCCAAAAUAGGUAUACAUCACCCAUUCUGAGUCUCCAAAUACAUGGUACAAAAUUUAAAUACAAAUUAAUUAUACAACUGACAUGUAAAAUACGACAAAAUAUAGCUGAGAGUUUUGACACGAAUAUUGUCUUCUAGAAAAUAUCCAAACUCAAAUGGAGUCCUCAUUACAGUUAUUAUAACACUAUUUUAUAAAAUAGUGAGGACUACUAUAGAAACCAUCUCGGACCAUCACUCUAUUCCCCGACUAGUCCUGGCUACGUUCUCAUUUCCUGAAGAGAACAAUGAAAGCAAAAGGGUGAGCUCAACUAGCCCAAUAAGAAAGAUUAUGACUAAGAUAAUGCAAAAUAAAUUAUCGUUAGCUUUCAAUAGUGUUAAACAAAUAAAAUACAAUAAACAUCAAGUUUAACUGCAAUAGAAUAAGCAAUCCAUUAGAAGAGUCAAGUAGAGCAUGAUAUCUACUAUUUUAUAUGAUUUUAAAAGUUUAUCAUCAAUUCUAUCGCUAAGACUCAGCUUAAUAAUCCACAUCACUGAAUUAUCCUUGCACUACGGGCCAAGGAUAAUCAUUAAUAUAACAUCCACGAAUUAUCCAUACACUACGGGUCAAGGAUAAUCGUGUUAUCACCAAUGGUCAUGAUCAUGCCAUCAACUGUCCAUCAAUGCACUACGGGCCAAUGAGGACUUUUACCACAUCAUUUGUAACAUUACAGAUCAUGAUUAUACCGAAUGAUCCCUGGUCAUAAUCAUAAAGAUCAACAGUCCAUCUAUGUAUUACAGGCCAAAGAUGACUUUCAUAACAAUAUAAGCAUGAGAAUGAUGACAAUGAUAUACGAAUUCAAUUAAAUGAGAGCAAAUGAUAAAUUUUUAAAGAUUUAUAAUUUAAUUUAUCCAGAAUUCAAAAACGUCCAAAUUGUCAACAUGAUACUGCUUUGUGAAGUAAAAUUCAAGAAUAAUAUUAUAUCAAAAAUGAUUUAGACCGAAAAGAAAUCAAUUUUUGUCAUGAAUAGUACUCCGGGUGAAUAGUACAUAAGUGAAUAGUACCCUAUGAAUAGUAAUUUGGGAAUAGUAUCCCGUGAAUAAUAGUCUAGUAUGAAGCGCAAAUUUAUCAAAAAUGCUCAGAAUAAUAUGCGCAAAUUUCAAGGAUAUUCUACUAAUUUCAUGGAGUAUAGAAGCCAAAACUUAACAAAAUGAGUAUAGAAUUCGGAAUCUGAAACAAAAUAAUAUUACUUACAUACUACAGAGUAUGAAAGAAAAUAUUAUUUCAUACGAAUAUUGAACAAAAAUAAUAUCCCUUAUCUUAAAAAAGAGAGUAUUCCAACUAGUAUAGCGGGGAUAUUCUUGAAGAAAACUUUCACUGUUUUCUAUACUCAAAGCUUCCUAAAACUUGAAAGAAAUACGCUUAAUAUUAUAGAAGAAUAAUUUUCUGAUUCUGGUGUGAUUUUCAAUUCUAACUAAGCAUCAUAUUUAUAGGAGAAUGGCAGGAUAUUAUUUGGAUGCACAGUAAUGAAAAAAAAUCACGGACACACAGUGCUUGAUCACGAAAAUUUUUUGAUUUUCAAAAUUGUUACUAUGCAAAUACUAUGCAGCCACUAUGUAAAUAUUAUGCAUAAUAAAAUAUAAUAUACUCUAUUUUUCAUAAAAAAUUAAACUUAUUAUCAUAUAUAUAUAUAUAUCAUAUAUACUCCCAUGACCAUUCCAUUCAUCAAAUACUUCAUAAAAAACCCCUCAAUAUUUUUAACAACAUUUAUUCAUCAUUAUUAUAACUCGCAAUAUUAAUAACCAGAUCUUUCCUAGGUAAGAGGGGGCUUUUCGAUAAGGAUUUCUCCCUAUUGGCGCACAAUUAGGUGACCAAACCCCUUUCCUCGACAGAACUUUCUAGACAUUGUUAAUUAUGCAAAUAAUAAUAUGAAUAACUUGUCAUCUCAAUUAUUGAUUUAAUAAUAUAAAAUAUUGUGGCAAUAAUUGAAUCAAUAACGUGAGAUACUAUGCAACAAUUACUGUAGCAAUAAUUGAGUAUAACUGAGUGACUUCUCACGUAAGCAUCAAUAAUCAAUACCGUGUGCUACUAUACAACCACGUGUAUUACUGUACAUUUAUCACUGGGUAUUUCAACAGUUAACGGUAAAACUUUCGCCAUUAUUUUUAUAAAAAUUUAUUUCUGUCGUUUUCCAACUCCGACAAUAAUUCCGUUGUGGGGUCCACCAAUGAUUGUGUUGUCAUACGAAUAUUUCCUGUUAAAAUGAAUAUUCCCCGAUCAAUCAAAUAUUUUAUAACAACUUGCAUACUUUGCAAAAUUUAUAAAUAUUACCCACAAAUAUAACAUUAUAUCAAAUCCACACCAAAAUAUUAAAAAAUAUAUUUCGAGAAAAAUUAAUCUUUAUUCAUGAAAGUUAGGGUCGUACAACUGAUCUUCAUUCUCUCUCUAACAGCGACAACUCCUCCUUCCUACCUCACUCUCUGGCCCGACAUCUCCUCCCUCCUCCCUACUUCGCUCCCUCGCCCCUCCAUAAAACGUUAUAACUCCCUCUCUCCUCUCUUCUGUCGAACGGCGGUAGUGGGAAUCGACGGUCAACUGUGGAUUUACAGCGGUGUUGGGAAUCGGCAGCAACGUCGUGGGUAUUUCCUCUCUUUUGUCUCUAGCAUUUUGAUCAAGUGAUGUAAAUUUCUAAAUUCAACUCAGUUGUGUUAGGGUUAGGGUUUAUAUGUUAGUAUAUUAAGCAACUGAUUUUGGGCUUCAUUUAGUGUUUAAUUUAUAUUGUUAUAUAUGAAACUGAUGAACUUGGCUGAAUUGUAGUUCAAUUUGGGUUUAAUAUAUAAUUUAGGGUUUAUUUUGUUAUUAAUCGUUGAGAUAUUGAGGCUGAUUAUAAUAUUGUUCAAAUUGGGUUUGGAAUGCUGCAAUUUGGGUUUGAUUUGCUACAAUUUGGGUUUGAUAAUUAUACUGCAAUAUCGGGUUUGAUGAUAUGUUGCAAUUUGGGUUUGAUAAAAUUUGGAUUAAGUUUAGGUAUAACUCAGCAUGUUCAGUUUUGUUGUAGGUAUAUUUGUUAUUUCUGACGAAAUUCUCGACAGAAUUUUUGUCAGAAUUUAUCAAUUACAAAAUUUGGAGGCACUAUAUAUGUUUAUAUAUUUCUUAUGUUUCCCAAUAUUAAAAUAAACAAAGUAGAAUUUACUUAGUUUCUUAAUUAGUACUAAAAUAAUUUAAUAGAUAUAAAAUAAUUUAAUAAAAAUAAAAUAAUUUAAUAAAAUUAAAAUAUAUAUUAUAAUGUAAUACAAAAUAAAAUAAAUAAUUUAAUUUAUAAUUUAAUAUAUUAUAUCUAAUAAAUAAAUAUAAUAAAAUUAAUAAUAAAAUAGUAUAAAUUAAAUAAUUUAAUUUAAUAUAAUUAAAUUUUAAUUAAUUAAUUUUAAUUAAUUUAAAUAAUUAAUAUAAUAUAAUAAAAAAUAAAAUAAAAUAAAAUAAAAUAAAUCUAAAUAAAUUAAUUAAUGUAAUUUAAUUUAACUAAAUUAAAUUAAUUUAAAGUUAAUAAAUAAAAUAAAUUAAAAUAUUAUAAUAAAAAAUAAAUUAAAAUUAAAUAAAUUAAAACACAUAAAUAAAUCAAAAUAAAUUAAUUAAUUAAAUUUAAAAUAAAUAAAAUAAAUAAAUAAUAUAAAUUAAAAUUUAAUAUAAUUAAAUUUAAAUUAAUUAAUUUAAAUAAUAUACUAUAAUAAAAAAAUAAAAUAAAAUAAUUAUUUUCAACUAAGUAGCAUUUGCUUAGUUUUCCAUUACAUAAAAAAUAUCCUGAAUUAAAUAAAAUCAAAGCUAAUAAAUUAAAUAAACAUAAAUUAAAGUAACAUAAUAUAUUUGAAAUAAAUUAACAUUAAAUAAAAUAAUAAACUGAGUAAAAUUUGCUUAGUUUUCUACAAUUAAAGGUAAUUGAAUAAGUUUUCUACAUAUUCAGUAAAUAAAACAAAAUACAAUAAACUUAGUAGAAUUUAUCCAGGUUUCCAUUGGUAAAAUAAACUAAGUAGCAUUUGCUUAGUUUGCCACAAUUUUCAAUAAACUCAAUAAUGUCAUGUGUUAAAUCUUCAAUACACUCAAUUGACAAUCAAUUACGAUUAUACACUUUAUAGUACAUAUAUCAUUCCAUUAACCUGUAAAUAUUUACUAUAGGUAGGAGCUUAGAAACCCGUUUGACAUUCACUCAUUAGGAGUGAAUGUCGAAUAGUCCUCAGUUUGGGACUGUUACUGGAUGUUAUGUCUCUCACUUAGGUCGGUGCCAAUUCUCAAGGUGCGUUUUCAAAUUUUAUGAACAAAGCAAUAGAACAUGUUGAUGAUCCAAACAGAAAGAUUAGAUGCCCGUGUUUCAAGUGUAAGAACAUGAUUUGGAAGACUGUCGAUGAAGUUAAAUUUGACUUAUAUUCACAUGGGUUUGUGGAUGGGUAUUCGGUAUGGAUUCAUCACGGGGAAUCAGCUGAGUUUAGAGAACAGACAGAUAGUACUGUAGACCAAUUGGUUCACGGGGAUUCACAAUCAAAUAACUAUGAUGUCAUGCAGAUGUUGGUUGAUGCAUAUGACCUUACCAAUAUUGACUAUUUAGCAGCUGUUUUCUAUAAGUUGCUAUUUGAAUCGGGUGUCCCAUUGUAUCCUGGAAAUGACAAGCACACCAGGCUUUCUACAGUUGCGAAGCUUUUAUAUUUCAAGAAUGAGCAUGACUGAAGUGAGAGAGGAUUCAAUGAUUGGCUUGAUAUUCUCAGCAAGUUCUUACCUAGGAAUAAUACUCUACCCGCGAAUUACUAUGAAGUGAAGAAAAUGGUUAAGGGGUUGAAUCUCGGGUAUGAGAAGAUUGAUGCUUGUGAGCAAGAUUGCAUGUUAUACUAUGGGAAGGACAAAGAUAAGGUGCAGUGUGAUAUCUACAACUCGCCUAGGUAUAAGAUCACAAAACGUGGGGGAAGGAGAAACAUGUUCCAAAGAAGAUUUUAUGAUACUUUCCUCUUGCCUCGAGGUUGCAACAACUAUUCAUAUUUGCACACACUGCUCAGCAUAUGAGUUGGCAUAAAACAAGGGAUGUUGUGCCUGGUCAGCUGACUCACCCAACAGAUGGAGAUGAAUGGAAGAAUUCUGAUGUUAAUUUUCCAUAAUUUUUCGACGAACUUAGGAAUGUCAGGCUUGGCAUGGCUACAGAUGGCUUCUGUUUAUUUAAUAAUAUUAGUCAGCCUUACUCUGUUUGGCCAGUAAUUAUUGUAGCUUACAAUCUUCCACAGUCAAUGUGCAUGAGGGAUCCGUAUCUUUUCUUGAACUUACUUAUACCAGGGGAUAAGAGUCCUAUAAAAGACAUUAACGUGUACCUUAGGCUAUUAGUCGAUGAACUUAAGAUGUUGUGGGAAACAGGUGUUUAAACUUUUGAUAAAUCUGUCAGGCAUAAUUUUGCGAUGAAGGCAGCCUUGUUGUGGACUAUCACUGACUUUCUGGCACUAGUUAUGAUUAGUGGAUGGUCGACUCAUGGUAAGUUGUCAUGUCCAGUCUGUAUGGGGGAUGUGCAAGGCACUCAACUACGUCAUGGCCGGAAAACUAGUUUCUUUGGAACUGCUCCUAGAUUCUUGCCUGCUGAGCAUAAUUAUAGAAAGAUGUCUACAUAGUUCAACAGAAAGACAGAGAAGAAGGGGGUUGUUGGUCGCUUGUCAGGAAGAGACCUAUUGGACUGGCUAAAUGAUCUAAAAUUUCCACCGCCUGGGAAGGAGCAUGGUAAGUUGAGAGCAAUAGGAUAUGGGAAAAGUCAUAAUUGGACACACUCGCCAAUUUGGUUUGGGUUGCCAUACUGGGUUACACUAGCACUUCAUCAUUUUAUAGAUGUUAUGCAUAAGGAAAAGAAUGUAUUAGAGAACUUGUUUUACACCAUACUGGGUACGAGAUGUAAAACAAAAGACAAUGAUAAAACACGUAAAGACUUGGAGGAAAUGAAUAUCAGGCGGGAAUUAUGGCUCCGACCUAACAACUCAAAACCAAAAGCUCCAUUUUGUCUUAUCAAGCAACAGGUUGAAAACACUUGCAAUUGGCUUAGUGCAUUGAAGAUUCCAGAUGGAUAUGCUUUUAACAUAUCUCGUUGUACUAAGGUUGAGCAGUUGAAAAUUAUUGGGUUCAAAAGUCAUGAUUGUCAUGUAUUCAUGCAGAAGUUGAUGCCAAUUCCAUUUCCACUUCAACAAAAAGGGUUAUUUCCGACGGACUAUUCCGUCGAAAUUAAAUAUAAUUCGUCGAGAUUAUGAUUACUUCUGACGAAAUAUUCGGUCGGCAAUUUAGUCGGAUAUAAGAACAUUGAAAUUAAGUCUGUUGAUCUUUAAGUUGGAGAUAUCUAUCCUCGACUGACCUAACCUCGACAGAAUAUUCGGUCGACAUUAAGAUAUUCUCGACUGAAUUAUAUCUGUCGAUAAUAUUAUGUCAAGUCUAAACCUGCCACGUGGCAUCCCAUAAAAAAUAGAAGGGGCUUAAUAUCGAUGGAAUUUCAUCGAGGAUAGUGUUAUUCCGUCGAGGUUUUGCCUUUUUUUAAUAUUUAUACUGUUUUAGCAAUAUCAAGGGUAAUAAAUCACAUUUUUUGUACCUGUAAACCUGCUUUUUCCCAACAACACACAUAAAACAUAACUAUAAUCCAAGGCCAAUAAUAGUAAUAUUUCCAUGGCCAACAUGAAUAUGAAUUACUAAGGCCAACAUGAAUAUGACAUUAAACUAAAGUUCUAAUCAACUAAAGUACAUCAAAUAUGCAUUUAAACUAACGUAAAUAUGUUAAACUAAAGUAAUGAUAAUUAAAAGCUACAAUACCUCAAAAAUCAAAAAAACUAUAUAAAUUUACAUCACAUUAAGCUAAAAAGUAAGUAAAUAUGUACAAAUCAUCUACAAAACUAAGUCACGGGUCGUCGUCGUCCAACCGCUUAGCAUCGUCAGCCCUCUUGUCACCUUUUGAUACAAUAUAAUGUAACUCAUUAGUCCAUAUAUAUAAUAUAGUUAAAGAUAACUAAUUAAAUGAAAAUUACAUAACAUGAAGAAUAUAUACUUGAAUUUAAAAUGAAUAGUAUACCUGAGUAGUCGAGGGCUGACUCAACAUCGACCUAAACACAUCCAUAAGUAAGGUAACCACCAUCCGAACAAUCUCGUCGCGUAUCGCGGUGAACUGCUCUGGAAGGAUACUCGUACUAUCGGCGGUGGCACCAGCUGCAAAGUCCUGCGCAAGAUGAUUGAGGAAAUAAUAGUUGGGCAGGUCCCAAUGACGGAAUAGCGGAUCUAUCUCAAGCCUCUCCGACACCACAGCCACAACCUGCUGGAAAAAAGCAUCGUCUAAGCCAGCGCCCGUAUGUGAUGGUCCCACGGGGGCUCUCGGACGCAGACGAUGACUAGAGCCUACAAAAAUAAAUAAAACAUGAAUAAUAUUAUAAUUAAGUUUACUUUAUUCAUAAAAAAGAAAUAAACUAAAAUAUUAUACCUCCAGACAGUGUAUAAGCUGGUAUCCUCCAACUCCAGCACUCGAUACCGGCCGGUAGUGCUAGUGGGAGUAUCCUGAGAUGCGACCCAAAGAGCCGUCUCCUCAUCCUGAGAUAAACUAAUCUCGGGCGGAGGGAUGGUGGAAUCAGUCGUCUCAGCAUCUCCCCUAGCAGCCUGGAACUCUGCUAUACGCUGGCUGCGGAGCAUCUCAAAUCGGUCCUAUAAUUUAAUAUAUGUACAUGUGAGCCAACUUUGUAUCAUCCUAUAAAUUACGUAAUAUGUUCCUAAAUUAUAGAGAUUAUAGUAAAUGUAUUACCCGUAUAACUAGUUCUGCUGAAGACAUCGUCGACCCCGAAGUAGAAUCCUUCGGCAUAUGGACUAUAUCCCAAAAAUCCAUCAUAGUAGGAGGUUGGCCCAAGCUACUCUGCAUGGCCUAAAUCAUGUACAUUAAUUAAUAUUACCUUACUUUAGUACUAUAGUUUUAAUGUAAUAUUAAACUAAACUAAAUAUGAAUACAUACCGACUUGACCUCCUGAAACGACUACGAGCCAGAAGUACGUACAACCUGUAGCUGGCCUCAAUUCUUCUUCAUCUACUAGGACUUGGUCUUGAAGGCAGCAUCAUCCUAAUACGUACACAUGGCAGCCCAUGCUGCAUCUGAUACUGUCGGCGGAUGAUGCUGUCGUAUAGUAGUCCCGGGCGAUUCUUCUACUACCCAGACUACCCUCUCUCGCAUCUUGUACAGCCAGCCGGUAUAGUUCUUCGAGAUGUGUGCAAUAAUAACAGCGUCACCAUCCGCCUCAGUGAUGUCAGCCUCGUAUCUAUAAUAUCUCUAUCAAACGAACAUAACGUACGCAUAAUUAAUUAUUUGAGCAAUAUAUAAAUAACUUAAACCUUGAUUUAAUAUAUGUAAUUUAACUUACGUGAAACUCUCGCAACACUAUCACCAUAAAGCCGGCAUCGUAACGCGAGUACUGGCUAAAUCGCAUGCAGCCAGUCGAGAGAUGCGUCAGGCAUAUGGCGUGUAUGGUCGCCUUAGCGACAUGAUCCAUAAUACUAGAAAAAAAAAUUUGUAUGGAAUAUUUUAAUUUAUUAAUCACAUAAUAAUAUCAUUCUAAUUGAACAUAAGUGACAUAUUAUAGUUGAAACCUAUACUGAUGAGCCGACAUCAAUGGGUACUAUGUUAAGAACUGCCGAUGGAUGACCUAAUCGACCUAGGCCCUCGCUGACGCUGACGUCUAGCAUUUGUGUAUAUGUUUAAUAUAGUUAUGACAUUGAUAAAUUAUAGUAAAUGAAUGUUUAAUAUAGUUAUGAAAAAAAGUGUUAACUCACUAGCUGAUGAAGACGACCUGCCCUGGGAGCCAUCACCCGAUCCAUCGUGGCCGCCACCACGGCCACCUCCACCACUAUGUCUAGGCAUAGUUGUACUACUAAAAUAACAAACAUAAAUUACAUUAAUUAAAUUUCAUUGCAAUUAUUCUAAUGAUUAUUUUAGUUGUAUAAUAUUUACAAAACAUGAAUUAGUGAAAAAGUAGCAUGUCGUCAAACCCAUCAGAAUCAAAAUAAUUUUCAUCCUCUAAUUCUGUCUCUUCCUCUUUUGUAUCAAUUUCUUCCUCAGUAUCAUCUUCUACCAUCACGUAUGGACUGACAACCACAUCUUCUUCCACUUCAUCAACAUUGGGUACGUCAACGACAUCAUCUACCAAUACAUCGCCAUCAUAUAGCAAUACAUGGCUGGGAUUGCUAACUUGUUCUUGCAAUGGGUCAUCUGUUCUAGAAAAAUUAGUACCAUCAAAUGACCGAGUCUUAGUUGUCACAAUUGUAUACCAGGGGGUUCUAGAAUUUAUGACAUUAGGGGCGUAGUACACUUGAGUUGCUUAGCUGGCUAACACAAAUACGUCAUCAGAUUGUAACUUGAAUUUUAUAUCUACUCUGACGAUUCUAUUACGAUCAAGUUUAACACCCUUUGCAGUAUCAAACUAUCGACACUUAAAUGUAAUGGCCUUUUUGGCCCCUAGAUAAUUGAGCAUAACAACUUCCUCUAAUCUUCCAUAGUAACUGGACUCAGAAUCUCCGUAACAACUUCCCAACAUGAGAGCCCCAGAGUUGACUGAUGUCAAUUCAUUCACGUCAUUAACCUUGAAUCUAUACCCAUUCACGAUGCAGCUUGGAAAUGAACUAAUAAGUUUGUACGGGCCUAAAAUGACAUCUCUAAAAUGCUCAUAAGUGUUCUCUUCUUCGACCCUUCUGUUAAACCACUGUUGAAAAUUUUCAUUAGUGAAUGCUUCCAUCUGUGAUGUAGUCAACCCCUGGUUAGAAGCUUGCACUUCCAAUAAGAAUGAACUGCGUACAAUAAUAUGGCAAUUGUUUAAUUAUUGAUUAAGGUUAGAUAAAUCAUUUUUAUCUUGUAAUAAUACAUACUUGAUAUACGAAGAUACUUCAGGCAUAUUUAGAAGCACGUAUAUAGAUACAAUCUUUAAAUCUUUAUCGGUUAGGUAAGUCUUUGUCUCAUGUCCAAAUGGUUUAGUUGGAUAAGUGAAUACAACCAACUCAUCAGCACGACCAGACGGAUCGACGACCUUAUUCCGACUUAAACGGUUGUGCUUCGUUGCGACUACAUCAUCAAAGAACAAUGAGCAGAUGUUGACAAACUCUUCCUCCGUAUAGCGUUCAGCAAUAGAACCUUCUAUACGAGCUUUAUUUUUAACUUUCUGCUUUAAUCGAUGUAUAUACCUGAAAUAUGACAGUUUCAGACAAGUUAAUUAUAAAAAUGACAAAUAUUGCACAAUGUAUGUGAUAUUACCUCUCAAAAGGAUACAUCCAUCAAUAUUACACCGGUCCUCCAAGCUUAAGUUCAUAUGAUAGAUGAAUAGGCAAAUGCACCAUGCUGUCAAAGAACCCCGGUGGUAAGAUCAUUUCUAGCUUGCACAUUAUCAACACUAUGUUUUUCUCCAUCUACUCCACAUCACUAUACCUUAUAAUAGUUGAGAAAAUAUCCCAAACGAAAUUUUAAAGUGUGGUAAAGGUAUCAUUAAUAUUCCUGGGUAACACCUCACAAAAUGAAAUUGGCACCAACUUCUGCAUGAAUAUAUGAAAGUAGUCACUUUUGAACCCAGUAAUUUUCAACUGCUCAACCUUAGUAUAAUGAGAUAUGUUAGAAUCAUAUCCAUCUGGGAGCUUCAAUGCGCUAAGCCACCUGCAAAUGUUUUCAACCUAUUGUUUGGUAAGAUAAAAUGGAGCUUUUGGUUUUGAGUUGUUAGGUCGGAGCCACAAUUCCUGCCUGAUAUUCAUUUCCUCCAAGUCUUUACGUGUUUUAUCAUUUUCUUUUGCUUUACCACUCGUAUCUAGUACGAUGUAAAACAAGUUCUCGAAUACAUUUUUUCCUGUAUGCAUAACAUCUAUACAAUGACAAAGUGCUAGUGUGACCCAGUAUAGCAACUCAAACCAAAUCGACGAGUGUGUCCAGUUAUGACUUUUCCCAUAUCCUAUUGCUCUGAACUUACCAUGCUCCUUCCCAGACGGUGGAAAUGUUAGAUCAUUUAUGUAAGACCCCAACUUUUAUGAAUAAAGAUUAAUUUUCUAAAUAUCAUUUUGAGUAUUAAGGUAUGGAUUUAAUAUAAUGUUAUAGUUGUGGAUAAUAUUUAUAAAUUUUGCAAAGUAAGCAAGUUGUCAUAAAAUAUUCAUUUGGUCGGGGAAUAUUCAUUUUAUCAGGGAAUAUUCGUAUGAUGGCGCAAUCAUUGGUGGACCCCACAAUGGAAUUACUAUCGGAGUUAGAAAAUGACAGAAAUAACUUUUUAUAAAAAUAACGGCAAAGGUUUUACCGUUAACUGUUGAAAUACCCGGUGAUAAAAUUACAGUAAUACGCGUGGUUGCAUAGUAGCACACGGUAUUGUACAGUAUCUUUGAUUAUUGAUGCUUACGUGAGAAGUCACUCAAUUUUAUUCAAUUAUUGCCACAUUAAUUGUUGGAUAGUAUCUCACAGUAUUGAUUCAAUUAUUGUUAUAAUAUUUUAUAUUAUUAAAUCAAUAUUUGAGAUGACAAAGUUAUUUAUAUUAUUAUUUGUAUUAUUGACAAUGUUUAGAAAAUUCUGUCGAGGAAAGGGGUUUGGUCACCUAAUUGCGCGCCAAUAAGGAGAAAUAAUUAUCAGAAAGCCCCCUCUUUCUUGGGAAUGAUCUGGUUAUUAAUAUUGCGAGUUAUAAUAUUAAUGAUGAAUAAAUGUUGUUAAAAAUGUGCUUUGUGAAGCCAAAUGAGUUGAGAUAAAUAUAGGGGUAUUUUAUGAAGUAUUUGUUAUAAAUUUUGCUUAUUAUAUGGACCCCCACUUACCCAUUUUUCAAAAUCGUCGGUAGAAGGUUAUCUCACGUUUGUUUAUAUAUAUAUAUAUAUAUAUAUAUAUAUAUAUAUAUAUAUAUAUAUAUAUAUAUAUAAGUUUUUUUAUGUAAAAUAGAAUAUAUUAUAUUUUAUUUGAUUGCAUAGUGUUGCAUAGUACUGCAUAAUUUCAGACGAAUUCGUUCGCUCGUGAAAAACUUAAUGUUGGUCCGUCAUUUUAUUUUCUAAAUAGUACCCUAACAUUCUCCUAUAAAUAGAAUGCUUAAUUUAGAAUUAAAAAUCACACCAGAAUCAGAGAAUUCUUCUUCUAUAAUAUUGAGCAUAUUUCGUUAGAGUUUAAAGAAGCUUUGAGUGUAGAAAACAGUGCAAGUUUUUUUCAAGAAUAUCUCCGCCCUACCAGUCAGAAAUACUCUCCUUUUAAGGUAAGAGGUAUUAUUUAUUUCAUAUUUGCUUACGAUAUUAUUUUUCGUAUUCGUAAAAAAUUUUAUUUUCGUUCAAUAUUCGUAAGGAAUAUUAUUUUUGUUCAAUAUUCGUAAGGAAUAUUAUCUUCAUUCAAUAUUCGUAAGAAAUGUUAUUUUCGUUCAACAGUUGUAAGGGAUAUUAUUUUUAUUCAAUAUUCGUAAGAAAUAAUAUUUUCUUUCAUACUUUGUAGUAUGUAAGUAAUAUUAUUUCGUUUCAGAUUCUGAAUUCUACACUCAUUUUGUUAAGUAUUGCUUCUAUACUCCUUGAAAUUAGUAGAAUAUCCUUAAAAUUUGCGCUUCAUCUAGUAUCUUUUCAUGAAAAUAUUAUUCUGAACAUUCUUGUUAAUUUUUAAUCUUUUCAUGCCGGAGUACUACUCACGACGUACGUUUCCCGAAGUACUAUUCACGGGGUACUAUUCACUUAGGUACUAUUCACCCGUGGUACUAUUCAUGACAAAAAUUGAUUUCUUUUCUGUCCAAAUUAUUUUUGAUACAAUAUUAUUCUUGAAUUUUACUCCACAAAGCAGUAUCAUGUUCAUAAUUUGGACAUUAUUAAAUUCUGGAUAAAUUGAAUUAUAAAUCUUUAAAAUUUAACCUUGUUCUCAUUUAAUUGAACUCUUAUAUUAUUGUUAUCAUCCGGUGCAGUUAAACUUGUUGUUUAUUGUAUUCAAUCAUUUUAACACCGUUGAAGGCUAACGAUAAUUUAUUCUGCAUUAUCUUAGUCAUAAUAUUUCUUUCUGGGCUAGUUGAGCUCACCCUUUGCUUUCAUCAUUCUCUUCAGGAAAUGAGAGCAUAGCGGGACUAGUCGGGGAAUGGAGUGACGAUCCGAGAUGGUGGCUGUAGUAUUCAUCAUUAUUCUAUAAAAUAGUGUGAUAAUAAUUGUAAUGAGGACUCUAUUUGAGUUUGGAUAUUGUCUAAAAGACAAUAUUCGUGUUAAAACUCUC